GACGAACGCUGGCGGCGUGCUUAACACAUGCAAGUCGAACGGAAAGGCCCUGCUUUUGUGGGGUGCUCGAGUGGCGAACGGGUGAGUAACACGUGAGUAACCUGCCCUUGACUUUGGGAUAACUUCAGGAAACUGGGGCUAAUACCGGAUAGGUGCUCCUGCUGCAUGGUGGGGGUUGGAAAGUUUCGGCGGUUGGGGGUGGACUCGCGGCUUAUCAGCUUGUUGGUGGGGUAGUGGCUUACCAAGGCUUUGACGGGUAGCCGGGCUGAAAGGGUGACCGGCCACAUUGGUAACUGGAAUCAGCCCAAAGCUCUAGGGGAGGCAGCAGUGGGGAAUAUUGCACAAUGGGCGGAAGCCUGAUGCAGCAACGCCGCGUGCGGGAUGACGGCCUUCGGGUUGUAAACCGCUUUCGCCUGUGACGAAGCGUGAGUGACGGUAAUGGGUAAAGAAGCACCGGCUAACUACGUG
rnacentral:rRNA from 1 species